UCCCUUUUCAUUCAGGCGGAACGCCCUAUAUCGUUCGGUGCCGGAUUCGUCCGGCUAUGGCGAUAAAUGAUGCCGUGGAAUAGACGCAGCGGACCCGGGGGCAGUACCCGGCGGCUCCACCACCAGCCCCGGAAACGAGGCUGAUGACGGGGCCGAACCAGGAUCGACGUGUGUUCAAAGACGGUGUUUUCGCCCGGGCUGAGUAACCCGUUAAAGGCUCAAAACCACAAGUGCCAACGAUAACGAGGCGCUCGCGAUUGCUGCGUAAUCACGGCCUCACGGCUUAGAUUACAAGGCUUGAACGCGGUUCGGGCCGCACCGGGCAACAGAAGCGGAUUCCA
rnacentral:tmRNA from 1 species